UGGGUUGCGAAGUCGCGAGGCGGAGCUAAUCCCUAAAAGCCAUCUCAGUUCGGAUUGCACUCUACAACUCGAGUGCAUGAAGUUGGAAUCGCUAGUAAUCGCGGAUCAGCAUGCCGCGGUGAAUACGUUCUCGGGCCUUGUACACACCGCCCGUCACACCAUGGGAGUUGGUUUUGCCUGAAGACGGUGAGCUAACCGUAAGGAGGCAGCCGGCCACGGUAGGGUCAGCGACUGGGGUGAAGUCGUAACAAGGUAGCCGUAGGGGAACCUGCGGCUGGAUCACCUCCUUUCUAAGGAAGAUGUUUAUUAUUAUUAGAUUAAUUUGAUGAUAUUAGCAUUUUUUAAAGAUAGAGCGUUAAGCUCAAGAUAUGAUCUGUUAUUUAUUAAUGACAGUUUUUUAUGCCGCCGUCCAAGUUUCUCUUUCUUUUCCCAUGUUUUUGCGAAUGAUGGGGUCGUUUAUUAUUAAAUAGGGCCCAUAGCUCAGGCGGUUAGAGUGCACCCCUGAUAAGGGUGAGGUCGGUAGUUCGAGUCUACCUGGGCCCACCACCCAUUUUUAGGGGCCGUAGCUCAGCUGGUAGAGCGCCUGCUUUGCAAGCAGGAUGUCAGCGGUUCGAUUCCGCUCGGCUCCACCAUUUGCAAUUAUUAAUAUUUUUUUGUUUUAAUACAUAAGAUAUAUUAAAAUUGAAUAGAAGAUAGAUUUUUUUGUAUUAUAGAUGAUUGCAUUGUAUGCGAGCAUUUAUAUUACCGACGUUAGAUAACCGGACGUUGAUAAUUUAUCUCAGGAAUAGGUCUUGAAGAAGCAUUGUUAUAGAGAUGAUGUUUUUUUGAUUGAUUUUAAGUUAUAAUGAUAAUUAUGACUAUUGACAAUGAGAGUGAUCAAGCGCG
rnacentral:misc_RNA from 1 species